CAGCAGUUUGAUCAGCUCAUGAAGCAUAAUGGAGAUGGAAGGGAUGCCCAUUCCAUGCUGUUGGAAGGAGAGAAAAGAGAAACAUCAGUCCACGAGGCUGCAGCAGGUGACAGGUUCUUCGAGUUAGUAGAGCUGGUGUUCAUCCCUGGGGACCCUGUGUGGGCACACAGAUGGUGCCCGAUCUUCAAGGAGGGUCCACAAAUACAUCCCAACAUCUGAAUGCUCCCAGACCUUCCCCAUGCAUUGCCUGUCCUUACACCAUGUGCUGACUCGCACUUUGUUGUGUCCUGCUUGUGCUCUGGGAGUGGUGAACUACAUCAAGAACAACCUGAGCCUUCACUUCUCCAUGUGCCUUCCAGCCUGUCCUCACCCCACACUGGAGCAUCUCUGCAACAUUGCUGGGCACAAUGGACAAUGGAAGGGUUUGUGUCCCUUGCUGAGGAGAGGGUCAGGUGUUUGCUGCGUGCCUUGCAGGCUGCCUGUCCCUCUGCCCUGCUGCCCUUGUGUCCCCAGCCCCUGCCUGGCUACCAGCUCCCCACUGCUGGCCCCGGCUGGUUCCCCUGCUCCAUGGACAGUGCUGCCCCACUCCCAUCUCUGCUGCUGCUCCCAGGGCAGGCAGAAGUUCUGCAGGCCUGGAGCUGCUGGGGCUUCUGCUGCAUUGGCCCGGUGCUUGUUGCUAGGUCAUCUGUCUUCUGCUCCAUUGCUAGACCAACAUCCUUUUCUUAGCUUUACUUUUAAGUACAAAAAGUGUUUGGUGCUGUGGAGUUUGGUUUUUCCUCUUGAAAGUGCCUCACAUUUUUUUGGUUUUGCUAUCAUCUUCAAAAACCUGAAGGAAGCAUGUAUGGAAGCACCAUUGAUUAAGGUACACAGCCUGUUUUUGUGUUGCUUUGUCUCCUUUCUCUUUGAGCUGUGAGAGCAAUGCUCUGUUUGCCUAGUAUCAUGUUUUAAAUAUGAAAUCUUUUUUCAUGUUGUUA